rnacentral:rRNA from 1 species
AGCCUUUAGCCAAACUAGUAUUAAAGGUCCCGCCUGCCCAGUGAUACAUUUUAACGGCCGCGGUAUCCUAACCGUGCAAAGGUAGCGUAAUCACUUGUCUCCUAAAUAGAGACCAGUAUGAACGGCUAAAUGAGGACAGGCCUGUCUCCUGUGGCCAAUCAGUGAAACUGAUCCUCCAGUACAAAAGCUGGGAUAUAAACAUAAGACGAGAAGACCCUGUGGAGCUUCAAACACCCACUAACAAGCAUUCCCUGCCCCUAGUGUAGAGUUUUAAGUUGGGGCGACUUCGGAGCAAAAUGAAACCUCCGAGAACAGAGCCACACACUCUUACCGAGGCCUACAAGCCAAAGUUAAAACAACAGACCCAGUAAUACUGAUCAACGAACCAAGUUACCCCAGGGAUAACAGCGCUAUCUUCUUCAAGAGUCCAUAUCGACAAGAAGGUUUACGACCUCGAUGUUGGAUCAGGACACCCAAAUGGUGCAGCCGCUAUUAAUGGUUCGUUUGUUCAACGAUUAACAGUCCUACGUGAUCUAGU